rnacentral:rRNA from 1 species
GACGUAGGGCGCGAGCGUUGUCCGGAUUUAUUGGGCGUAAAGAGCUCGUAGGCGGCUUGUUGCGUCGACUGUGAAAACCUGCGGCUCAACCGUGUGGUCUGCAGUCGAUACGGGCAGGCUGGAGUUCGGUAGGGGAGACUGGAAUUCCUGGUGUAGCGGUGAAAUGCGCAGAUAUCAGGAGGAACACCUGCGGCGAAGGCGGGUUGCUGGGCUGACACUGACGCUGAGGCGCGAAAGCUAGGGGAGCGAACGGG